GACAGAGGGUGCAAACGUUGUUCGGAAUUACUGGGCGUAAAGCGAGUGUAGGCGGCUUGGCAAGUCGGAUGUGAAAGCCCCGGGUUCAACCCGGGAAGUGCACUCGAUACUGCUUAGCUUGAGUGUCGGAGAGGUUGGUGGAAUUCUCGGUGUAGAGGUGAAAUUCGUAGAUAUCGAGAGGAACAUCGGCGGCGAAGGCGGCCAACUGGACGAACACUGACGCUGAGACUCGAAAGCGUGGGGAGCAAACAGG
rnacentral:rRNA from 1 species